UGGCGGCAUGCCUAACACAUGCAAGUCGAGCGGUAGCACAGGGGAGCUUGCUCCCUGGGUGACGAGCGGCGGACGGGUGAGUAAUGUCUGGGAAACUGCCUGAUGGAGGGGGAUAACUACUGGAAACGGUAGCUAAUACCGCAUAACGUCGCAAGACCAAAGAGGGGGACCUUCGGGCCUCUUGCCAUCAGAUGUGCCCAGAUGGGAUUAGCUAGUAGGUGGGGUAAUGGCUCACCUAGGCGACGAUCCCUAGCUGGUCUGAGAGGAUGACCAGCCACACUGGAACUGAGACACGGUCCAGACUCCUACGGGAGGCAGCAGUGGGGAAUAUUGCACAAUGGGCGCAAGCCUGAUGCAGCCAUGCCGCGCGUGUGAAGAAGGCCUUCGGGUUGUAAAGCACUUUCAGCGAGGAGGAAGGUGGUGAGCUUAAUACGUUCAUCAAUUGACGUUACUCGCAGAAGAAGCACCGGCUAACUCCGUGCCAGCAGCCGCGGUAAUACGGAGGGUGCAAGCGUUAAUCGGAAUUACUGGGCGUAAAGCGCACGCAGGCGGUUUGUUAAGUCAGAUGUGAAAUCCCCGGGCUCAACCUGGGAACUGCAUUUGAAACUGGCAAGCUAGAGUCUCGUAGAGGGGGGUAGAAUUCCAGGUGUAGCGGUGAAAUGCGUAGAGAUCUGGAGGAAUACCGGUGGCGAAGGCGGCCCCCUGG
rnacentral:rRNA from 1 species